rnacentral:rRNA from 1 species
UACGUAGGGCGCAAGCGUUGUCCGGAAUUAUUGCGCGUACAGAGCUCGUAGGCGGUCUGUUACGUCCGCUGUGAAAACCCAGGGCUUAACCCUGGGCUUGCAGUGGAUACGGGCAGACUAGAGGCAGGUAGGGGAGAAUGGAAUUCCCGGUGUAGCGGUGAAAUGCGCAGAUAUCGGGAGGAACACCGGUGGCGAAGGCGGGUCUCUGGGCCGAUACUGACGCUGAGGAGCGAAAGCGUGGGGAGCGAACAGG